ACCCGCUGAACUUAAGCAUAUCAGUAAGCGGAGGAAAAGAAACUAACUAGGAUUCCCCGAGUAGCGGCGAGCGAAAGGGGAGAAGCCCAGCGCCGAAGCCCGCGCGUCUCUGCGCGCAGUGCAAUGUGGCGUUUCGGCGGCGACUUGAGGGCAUCGCUCUGGCACGAGUAUCUCUGAAUGGGUCUCCCGUAGCGGGUGUCAGGCCUCUAUCUGCCAGACGGGCGUUGACCUCCUGUCGUCGUCGCGGAGUCGGGUUGCUUGAGAGUGCAGCCCAAAGUGGGUGGUAAGCUCCAUCUAAGGCUAAAUACCUAGUGCGAGACCGAUAGCAAACAAGUACCGUGAGGGAAAGUUGCAAAGAACUUUGAAAAGAGAGUUCAAGAGUACGUGAAACCGUUCAGAGGCAAACGGACGGAACUGGGCGAGUUCGCCGUCGUCAUUCAGCCGACGCUGCUCACGCGGCGGCGGUGCACUUGGCGGCGGCGGAGCGCGACGACCGCCUGUCGGGUCGUCUGAAGCCCGGUGGCAAGGUGGCGACGCGUUCGCGCGUCGUGUUACAGGCCGCCGUGGCGUUGACUGACUUGGCGGGCGAGGAGCGCCUGCGGUGCACUCCCCUCCGGGGAGUGGCCCGACGCGGUGGGCUUUCGGAUGCCGGCGACGAACUGCUCGCAGUUUGAUGCUGUGCGUACUGUCUGUCGCGCCGCGCGGUGCCACGGGGCACCCAGGGUCCGGGUCGUGUGGUUCCUGGCACUCCGUCCGACCCGUCUUGAAACACGGACCAAGGAGUUGAGCACGCGCGCGAGUCGAUGGGCUCGUAGAACCCCAGUGGCGAAGCUAAGGCAAAACGGGCGUGAUCCGGCACUGGCGUGUCGGCGCAACGCCGGCCCGCAGGCGACUCGUUGCAAGUGCCUGCGGUGCAAGAGCGCGUGUGCUCAGACCCGAAAGGUGGUGAACUAUGCUUGAGCAGGGCGAAGCCAGAGGAAACUCUGGUGGAGGCUCGCAGCGAUCCUGACGUGCAAAUCGGUCGUCAAACUUGAGCAUAGGGGCGAAAGACUAAUCGAACCGCCUAGUAGCUGGUUCCCUCCGAAGUUUCCCUCAGGAUAGCUGGCACUCGGGAUAAAUGGUUUUAUCCGGUAAAGCGAAUGAUUAGAGGCAUUGGGGACGAAACGUCCUCAACCUAUUCUCAAACUUUAAAUGGGUAAGAGGCGCGACCCUUCCUGAUCGGGGUCGCGUGCUUGAACAGAGAGUGCCCAGUGGGCCGUUUUUGGUAAGCAGAACUGGCGCUGUGGGAUGAACCAAACGCGCGGUUAGGGUGCCUAACGUACGCUCAUGAGAUACCACAAAAGGUGUUGGUUGAUAUAGACAGCAGGACGGUGGCCAUGGAAGUCGGAAUCCGCUAAGGAGUGUGUAACAACUCACCUGCCGAAUCAACUAGCCCUGAAAAUGGAUGGCGCUGGAGCGUGCGACCCAUACCGCGCCGUCGGGGCAACGCGUGCGAAAUGCCAGGCCCCGACGAGUAGGAGGGCGUGUCGGUGGCGUUGAAGCGUAGUGCGUGAGCACGCGUGGAGCCGCCUUCAGUGCAGAUCUUGGUGGUAGUAGCAAGUAUACAAAUGAGAACUUUGUAGACCGAAGUGGAGAAGGGUUCCAUGUGAACAGCAGUUGGACAUGGGUCAGUCGGCCCUAAGAGAUCGGAAAAUUCCGUUCUGAACGGGGGAGACGCGUCGCGUGACGGCCGUCUGAGCAACGCCGUGCAAAAGCUGGUAUUCUGUAGGUACCGAGGAGCACACGGCGAGAGCGGCGCGCACGCGCUCGCGCACGUCACCCCGAUGCGAUCGAAAGGGAAUCGGGUUAAUAUUCCCGAACCUGGCAGUGGAGAUUGGGCCUUCGGGCCCCAGUGCGGUAACGCAACCGAACUCGGAGACGCCAGCGUCGAUCCCGGGAAGAGUUCUCUUUUCUUUGUUAGGAGCGGACUCCCUGGAAUUGGCUUGUCCAGAGAUAGGGACGUUGCAUCCGUAAAGCGUCGCGCCUCACGCGGCGUCCGGUGCAUCGGCGUUGGCCCUUGAAAAUCCGAGGGAGGCAGUGUAAUUUUCACUCCAGGCCGUACCCGAAUCCGCAGCAGGUCUCCAAGGUGAACAGCCUCUGGUCGAUAGAACAAUGUAGGUAAGGGAAGUCGGCAAAUCCGAUCCGUAACUUCGGGAUAAGGAUUGGCUCUGAGGUGCGGGCUGCUUCGGGUCGCGGCAAGAAGCGGAUCGUGCGUUGGUUGGACUGGGCGCGUUUCGGCGCGUUCGGACCGCCGCCAGCGCGCGUCCGUGGGAGGCCGUGGCUUUCGUUGGCGUGGGCGCAAGCCCGCGUCGGCUUCGUUCGGCCUAAACGCACAGCACAGAACUGGCACGGACUCUGGGAACACGACUGUCUAAUUAAAACAAAGCAUCGCGAUGGCCGCUGGUCGGUGUUGACGCGAUGUGAUUUCUGCCCAGUGCUUUGAAUGUCAAAGUGAAGAAAUUCAACCAAGCGCAGGUAAACGGCGGGAGUAACUAUGACUCUCUUAAGGUAGCCAAAUGCCUCGUCAUCUAAUUAGUGACGCGCAUGAAUGGAUUAACGAUGUUCCCACUGUCCCUAUCUACUAUCUAGCGAAACCACAGCCAAGGGAACGGGCUUGGCAAAUACAGCGGGGAAAG
rnacentral:rRNA from 1 species